CCGACCUUAGCUCCGUUGGUAAAGCGGAGGACUCUGCAUCCUUAGGUCACUGGUUCGAUUCCUGUAGGUCGGA